GGAGGGUUCGCAUAGUGGUCUAGUGCGCACGCUUGGAAAGCGUGUGUACCGCAAGGUACCGAGGGUUCGAAUCCCUCACCCUCCG
rnacentral:tRNA from 1 species